rnacentral:rRNA from 1 species
GGAGCAUGUGGUUUAAUUCGAAGCAACGCGAAGAACCUUACCAGGUCUUGACAUCCCGCCGACCGCCUAGGAGACUAGGCCUUCCCUUCGGGGACGGCGGUGACAGGUGGUGCAUGGUUGUCGUCAGCUCGUGUCGUGAGAUGUUGGGUUAAGUCCCGCAACGAGCGCAACCCUUGAUCUUAGUUGCCAGCAUUCAGUUGGGCACUCUAAGGUGACUGUCGGUGACAAACCGGAGGAAGGUGGGGAUGACGUCAAAUCAUCAUGCCCCUUAUGACCUGGGCUACACACGUGCUACAAUGGAUGGUACAAAGGGCUGCGAACCCGCGAGGGGGAGCCAAUCCCAUAAAACCAUUCUCAGUUCGGAUUGUAGGCUGCAACUCGCCUACAUGAAGCUGGAAUCGCUAGUAAUCGUGGAUCAGCAUGCCACGGUGAAUACGUUCCCGGGCCUUGUACACACCGCCCGUCACACCACGAGAGUUUGUAACACCCGAAGUCGGUGGGGUAACCUUUAUGGAGCCAGCCGCCGAAGGUGGGACAGAUGAUUGGGGUGAAGUCGUAACAAGGUAACCA